CCUAGCAACCAGAGGAGGGGCGGGAACUUGAGCAGUACUGGCAGCUCGCUGACUGGUGAAAAGCAGUGGUCGGUUCCGCCCUGAGGGUCUCCACAAGGCUGCAGAGAUCGGGGCUUCUCCUUUGCUCCCCAUCCUCGAGCAGACGCCAGCUUGGUUAAUGACGGGUUUACUUGGCCUUUUCAUAAUUGGGUCUGAUGAACGACAUCAAUCGGAAUCACAUCGGCUCUUCCUGUCAUCCCUGGCUUCAGAUCAUCCACCGGAAGUGCUGCUGCAGCUGCUGAGGACGCUCGGGGCAGUGCCGCUGCCCUGCAGCCCUGUAGACCUGAGCAGGACCUGCGCCCUCCGGGGGCCUGGCAGGAGGAUGAGGCAGUCUGAGUUCAGAACCGCCGCCCUGCACGUGGGGAGGGUGCUGCACAGGGUCCUCACCCUCAAAGCUUUGUUUUCUCAGCUGUGAUAAGACUUAGAAACCAGUGCCAUCAUCGGGGUUGCUGUGAGAAAAAGGAAUUCAUAUAAAAAUGGUAGGAACUGUGCUUGACUAUGUAAGGGCUCAGUAAAUGUUAUUUGGGGGUUUUUGUUGUUGUUUUUAUAAAUUUUAUUUUAUUUUAUCUCAUUCCCCCCCUCAAGCCCUAUCCCCUCCCUAUGUACAAAAGUUUUGUUUCCAUUUUUUUUCUUCUAUUUUCACUUUUUUUCUUGUCUCUUCCUUUCUCCCUCUCUCCUCCCUUGUUCCCCUUCCCAUUUGAACACUUUCUUCCCAUUUCCCAACAUACACUAUAGAUCUCAGUCCUUAUUUCCACAGUCAGUUUCUCACACCAGAGAAACAGUGUGAUAUUUAAACAUAUGUGUUUGAUUUAUUUCACUUAAGAGUAUGGUCUCAAGGUCCAUCCAUUUAGUCAUAAAUGUCUGAAGAUCAUCCUUCUUUAUGACAGAAUAGUACUCCAUUGUAUAAAAAACCACAUCUUCUUUAUCCACUCAUCAGUUGAUGGGCAUUUGGGCUGUUUCCAAGAUUUAGCUAUUACAAAUUGUGCUGUUAUAAACAUGGAUCCACAUAUACUGAUGUGGCAUGAUGUUUUUAAUUCAGGAAGAUACCAAGAAGAGGUAUAGCUGGGUCAAAAGUAACUUCUAGUUUUAGUUCUUUGAGAAAUCUCCACAUUGAUUUCCACAGUGGUUGCAGUCUACACUCCCACCAGCAGUGGAGAAGGGUUCCUUUUUACCCACAGCCCUGCCAGCAUUUGUUAUUGGUUGAUUUCUUGAUAGCAGCCAUUCUUUCUGGGGUGAGGUGGAAUCUCAGCGUUGUUUUAAUUUGCGUCUUUUGAAUGACAGUGAUGUUGAACAUUUUUUCAUGUAUUUAUUUGCCGUUUCUAAUUCUUCAUCUGAGAAGUGUCUUUUUAUUUUAGAUGCCCAUUUUUGCAUUGGGUCUUUAAAUUUGAG
rnacentral:lncRNA from 1 species